CGUAGCGAAAGUUACGCUAAUACCGCAUACGAUCUACGGAUGAAAGCGGGGGAUCGCAAGAGCCUCGCGCGAUUGGAGCGGCCGAUAUCAGAUUAGGUAGUUGGUGGGGUAAAGGCUCACCAAGCCAACGAUCUGUAGCUGGUCUGAGAGGACGACCAGCCACACUGGAACUGAGACACGGUCCAGACUCCUACGGGAGGCAGCAGUGGGGAAUUUUGGACAAUGGACGCAAGUCUGAUCCAGCCAUUCCGCGUGCAGGAUGAAGGCCCUCGGGUUGUAAACUGCUUUUGUACGGAACGAAAAGGUCUCUAUUAAUACUAGGGGCUCAUGACGGUACCGUAAGAAUAAGCACCGGCUAACUACGUGCCAGCAGCCGCGGUAAUACGUAGGGUGCAAGCGUUAAUCGGAAUUACUGGGCGUAAAGCGUGCGCAGGCGGUUAUGUAAGACAGAGGUGAAAUCCCUGGGCUCAACCUGGGAACUGCCUUUGUGACUGCAUAGCUAGAGUACGGUAGAGGGGGAUGGAAUUCCGCGUGUAGCAGUGAAAUGCGUAGAUAUGCGGAGGAACACCGAUGGCGAAGGCAAUCCCCUGGACCUGCACUGACGCUCAUGCACGAAAGCGUGGGGAGCAAACAGGAUUAGAUACCCUGGUAGUCCACGCCCUAAACGAUGUCAACUGGUUGUUGGGUCUUCACUGACUCAGUAACGAAG
rnacentral:rRNA from 1 species